GACGAACGCUGGCGGCGUGCUUAACACAUGCAAGUCGAACGGAAAGGCCCUGCUUUUGUGGGGUGCUCGAGUGGCGAACGGGUGAGUAACACGUGAGUAACCUGCCCUUGACUUUGGGAUAACUUCAGGAAACUGGGGCUAAUACCGGAUAGGAGCUCCUGCUGCAUGGUGGGGGUUGGAAAGUUUCGGCGGUUGGGGAUGGACUCGCGGCUUAUCAGCUUGUUGGUGGGGUAGUGGCUUACCAAGGCUUCGACGGGUAGCCGGCCUGAGAGGGUGACCGGCCACAUUGGGACUGAGAUACGGCCCAGACUCCUACGGGAGGCAGCAGUGGGGAGUAUUGCACAAUGGGCGGAAGCCUGAUGCAGCAACGCCGCGUGCGGGAUGACGGCCUUCGGGUUGUAAACCGCUUUCGCCUGUGACGAAGCGUGAGUGACGGUAAUGGGUAAAGAAGCACCGGCUAACUACGUG
rnacentral:rRNA from 1 species